AUUUGUUAGGUCACUUCCGGGUCGACGAUGUCAGGAAGUCCAUGCGGAAGUGUUUGAGACAAUGAGGAGCAGUCAACUUGUGUUGGAAGAGAUAAACAAGUCUUUAAGUCUACUCUUUAACGUCAACUAUUUAACGUCUUCAUACAAGUCUCCAAGUCUACUAACUUCUUCAUACAAGUCUGUCAACUUGACGAUGCCAACUUCCUCUUCUUGAGACCAAUCAGACGCCUGCUUUCCCUUUUCUGCGUGUUAUUGGUUGAGGAGCAGCAGAGACCUGAGCAGACCAAAGAAGGAUCUGGUGCAAGCUCCAAAGGAAAGAUUGGUGCAGACCCAAAAGGUGUUGAGCUUCCUCUCCAGAGCUCCCGUCAAGUCCGACCCGCCGCUGAACCUGCGAGCGUCUGACCGCAGGCCAAGCAAAUCCAGCAAAAGGUCAGCAUGGACUUCUUCAGUCUGUUUAGCUGAUUGGAGAGCUAGCUUGCGCAGCUAGAGGCUUCAUGACUGACGUUUUGUUUGAUCAGCCCUUUUACUGCCCUGUUACACACACCGCUUGGAAACAGUUAAGAGCUUCAGUCCUUCAACAGUCCGGGGUCUCCGCUGUCCUAUUUGCGCCACACAUUUUCCAUGGGAGACAGGUCUGGACUGCAGGCAGGACAAUCAGAGCGGUGGACUGACCUGCGGUGGCGGGGGCGCCCGGGACCCCCCCCAGGGACAAGGUGGAGACGCCCGGGCCCCCAAAGUGUUGUGUGUGGCGUGGGAUGAGGCGUGAGUGGGCGUGGUCCAGCUGCAGCAGCGUGUGAGAGUAGUUCCUGAUCAGCAGCAAGACGUGCCAUUGGCCGUCGGACAUCGGCACCUCGCCCAGGCUGCGCUCCACUUUGCCGCCGGGACCCGCCUCCGACACGUACUGGAUGCUGCCCUGCCUCAGCUGAAGGGGGAGGGGCACAAGGAGAAGGGGGAGGAGCACACAACUGCAUCACUUCUCUGGCGGAAAGGCUUUUAUUUUGAAAUGAGCUGCUGUGUCAUUAUUUUCCAACAUGACUUGCACUUUUACCUGAAGUGAUCACUGUCUGGUAGUUAAAUAGUUGCUCAUUGAUUGGAUAGUUAGUUAGUUUGUGUUAUGUAAUCAGUUGGCCUGUUAUUUGGAUAGUUGGUAGUUAGUUAGUGUUGCUUGCAGUUCAAUAGUUCGUAUGUUAUUUACUUUGUUGCUUAGAAAGUGGAAUAUUUGUUUAGCUAGCUGGUGUUGGUUUGAUAGUUAGUGUUAUCUAUUUGCUGGUGAUGUCUUACAUUUCCUCUGUAGUUAGUUAGUUUUAGUUGUUCUGGUUAUGUAUUUGUCAAACAUUGUGUUUCUUAAUUACUUGCCACGUUGAAUAUUUGUUCAGUCAUUUGGUUAUUUUUUUCAGUUGUUGGUAUGCUAGCUGUUAAGUAGUUGUUAAUGUCGUCAGUUAGUUAGUUAGUUGGUUGGUUAAUUAGGUCUUCAUAUAGUUGGUUGUGAGUUAGUGUUGGUUAGUUAGUUUGUUGUCCAUUCCCAGUCAUCAGUGUAUGUUACUUCCUGCUAGGAAUU